UUUAGGAGUAACAACGUUCGCGUCCAAUUUUAAUUGUCCGUUUUAUUUUAAUUUUUUUUAUAAAUAGUAUUUUUGUUGGUACGAGAUGAUAAAACAUGAAUAGUACUUUACUAGUGAUUUAUGUUUUUAAAUUUUUUAAAAAAAAUUUCAAGUAAGACGGGCGAUUAAAGUUGGACCCAAAAAAUCAUAGCUGCACUUAAA
rfam:Oryza meridionalis cultivar OR44 (W2112) chromosome 8, whole genome shotgun sequence.